rnacentral:rRNA from 1 species
GGCCUACCAUGGUGGUAACGGGUAACGGGGUGUUAGGGCACGACACCGGAGAGGGAGCCUGAGAAACGGCUACCACAUCCAAGGAUGGCAGCAGGCGCGCAAAUUACCCAAUCCCGACACGGGGAGGUAGUGACAAUAAAUAACAAUACGGGGUUCUUUAGGAUCUCGUAAUUGGAAUGAGUACAAUUUAAAUCUCUUAACGAGGAACAAUUGGAGGGCAAGUCUGGUGCCAGCAGCCGCGGUAAUUCCAGCUCCAAUAGCGUAUAUUAAAGUUGUUGCAGUUAAAAAGCUCGUAGUUGAAUUUCGGGGUUAGUAAGUUGGUCAUGCCUUUGGUAUGCACUGGCUUUACUGAUUCCUCCUUCUUGACGAACCGUGAUGUCAUUAAUUUGGUGUUGCGGGAAAUCAGGACUGUUACUUUGAAAAAAUUAGAGUGUUUAAAGCAGGCUAACGCUUGAAUACAUUAGCAUGGAAUAAUGAAAUAGGACGUUAAUCCUAUUUUGUUGGUUUCUAGGAUCGACGUAAUGAUUAAUAGGGAUAGUUGGGGGCAUUAGUAUUCAAUUGUCAGAGGUGAAAUUCUUGGAUUUAUUGAAGACUAACUACUGCGAAAGCAUUUGCCAAGGAUGUUUUCAUUAAUCAAGAACGAAAGUUAGGGGAUCGAAGACGAUCAGAUACCGUCGUAGUCUUAACCAUAAACUAUGCCGACUAGGGAUCGGAUGAUGUUAUUUUUAUGACUCAUUCGGCGCCUUACG